rnacentral:tRNA from 1 species
UUUAAAUUAAAACAUUGGUUUUGUAAAUCAAAAAUAGUUAUUACUCUAAUUUC